GGACCGCCAGGGAAUUCCCUAAAUGAAUAUUUUUAAAUUGUCUCCAUUUUUAUUUCUAAUAUCAACAGAUAUAACUCAUAUAAACAAAAGCUCUUUUGUGGUCCUUAGAAAUUUUUUGAAGUGUAAAAGGAUCUUCAGACCAAAACCUUUGAGAAAUGCCAUACAAAAUCAUUAAAAUUCCAGUGCUUCUGUUCAUGCUUCUAGUGGUACAAACAGUUCACAGAUGGGUCAUGCACUAUCAUUCCAGAAUCUUCCUUAUAACUAGGAGUUUCUGCAGUGUCUUUCAGCAUUGCUUCUCCUUUAGAGAAGUUGGUUGUUUGAGUUUUUAUUAGGUUUUUCUCAGUCUUAAAAAAGUUUAAGCUCUCCUUACUUCAGCCCAUUAUUCUUUAUCAUAAGGAAGAAUAUCAAGCAUAUUAUUGUUAAAAGAGAGAAAAGCAAAGGAAAAACAAUGGAACUUUUCAAUUUAAUUAUAAAAACAAGUAGUGACCAGUAUUUAUGUGCACUUACUAUGUGUCACACUCUGUGCUAAGUGCUUUAUAUUUAUCUUCUCAUUUAAUCCUCUCAACAGUGCCUAAAAAUAGGGUGACCAUAGUCCUCAGUUUGCCUGGGGUGGUCCUGGUUUAUGCCAUUUGUUCAAGCAUAAUUAUUAAUAAUAUCCCCCUGGCAGCACAUAAGUUUCCCAGUUUGGACAUAAAUUAUCUGAUCACCCUCCCUGUAAAAAUUACUCUCCACAGUUUACAAAUUAGGAAACUGAGGCAUAGAGAGAUUGAGUGUCUUGCCCAAAGUACACUGCUAGUAAAUGUGGGUGUGGGAUCCUAGCCCAGGUCUGUCUAGCUUUGUAGUUCAGCCUUUUAAAGAAUUACAAACUGUUUCACAGUGAUAUCAAUGCUCCUGAGAUUUAUGUCGACCCCAACUAUAGUAAUAUAUUCCAGAAUAAAAGAAAGUAGAACACAAAAAUUUAUGAUAAAAUUUUAAGUUCAGUUUCAGUUGUAAAACACUGAUGUGUUAGAUGUGCUGUUCCGACACUCAUCUUUUACACAGUUCAGAGGCGCACACUUGCUAUCAACAGUUUGCAGAAAACCAAUGCUGCUUCUGUGUUGGGGCUUGCGGGGGAGUGCAGUUCUUGCUGGUUCAGUAAAGCUGAAGGAUGCCCAUUUAUAAAACAGGAAAGGUGGACCGAACUGUUAGAGGCCUUCCUAAUAGGGAUUCUCCCUGAUCAUAAGUAACAGAACGCGAGUUUCGUUGGGUGUAUAAAUGUGCUUAGCUUAAAACUACAUCUCCCAGCACUCUGUGCAGAUGAAGGACCUGACCAUGCUAUGCAGACCUGGCCAACGAAAUGUAAGUAGAAGUUGUUGGAUGACGCUUCUGGGAAUGCUUUCUUAAAGUGGAAGGCCAAUUUAGCUGACCUUGCCUUUUACUUUUCUUUACAUCUGGAACUCAAAUGCAAUACUGGAGUUUGAGCAGCCAUCUUGUGACUACAAAGGAACAAGCACAUGUUAAGGAUGGCUAGGUGAAGGGAAGAGAGAAGGACCUGGCUCUCUGAGGACAUUGUGGAUCUACCAAAUCAACCCUGGACUGAAAAAGACAUAUAAAACUGCCUCAGAAUCUGUCUCAACGUGAGUGUCUAAAACCCACACUGCAGCAGAUCAGCCACAUCGUCCAGCAGCUCAGGCUUGAGAAGGACAUGGUCCAGUACUCUUUACAUUUGACUCAUGGUUUUCAAACUCGCUGGCGAUACUCAAAGACAUUCCAAGGAGUACAUAGGCUGGGAAAGUUUUGAGGAAAUCCAUUUUCGAAUGAUCAACUUACAUACUUCUAAAAUUGAUCUGCCUGAGAAUGUUCUUGCAGUCAAGGCACCCAGGCACCAGGCUUGUGUAUACUGAGGCUUCUGCUUAAAACUCUUCAGUUGCUCCCAACUGCUUCUAGGAGAAAGUGCUAACACCAGCAGGGGGCUCACAUCACUCUGCAUGAUCCGAGUCCCACUUACGGCUCCAGACUCCUCUUUCUGUCUCUGCUCAAACUCUGCACUUCAGUCAUCUGGAACUUCUUUUCAGUUCUUUGAAGGUCCUGUUCGUCUCUCAACACUGGGCCUUCACACGGGCUGCUUCCUCUGUGUGGAAUACUCAACCCACCUCCUACCUCCUAGCUACGUGUAAUUUUUACAUAUUCGAAUGUCAGGUUUAGGUACCACUUGAAGCUUUCUCCGACCGCCCCCACCACUACCAUCACUAAGGUUGGAUUAAAUGUUACUCUUUUGUGUUCCUGAUGAAUAAUGUCCUUCCCCAUCAAGCAUGUACUGCAGUCAUCUCUUUCCUUGUCUGUUUCCUCCAAUAGACUGUAGGUUGCAACACAACAGAAACAGUGUCUACUCACCAUCAUAUUAAGCCUCCCACAACGUACGGUACCUGGUAGUUUCUGAAUGAAUAAUGGGAGAAUUAAUGAAUGGAUUGACUUUGCUGAUUCAUCAAUUAAAAGACCUCUGUUGAAAGUAACAGCUACUUUAACAAUCUUAAAGGAAUUUAUUGGAAGGAUAUAAAGGGCUCAUGAAUUGACAGGAAGUUGUAAUACCAGGCUGGAAAAAUAGGUAAAGACCCAGGUAACUCGAGCAGCCAAGAAGCUGGAAAAUGUUAGCAGGAAUAGCCCAAUAGCCUGGGAAGGACACAGUUACCUUUGUUGUAGGGCACUGCUGCUGCCUCUUUGGGAUUCCACCUCAACUGCCCUUGGAGAUAAUCUCCCCACUGCUGGGAAUUAAAUUUCAUUGCCCCAAGGAAACCAUAAACAAGACAAAAAGACAACCCUCAGAAUGGGAGAAAAUAUUUGCAAAUGAAGCAACUGACAGAGGAUUAAUCUCCAGAAUUUACAAGCAGCUCAUGCAGCUCAAUAUCAA